rnacentral:rRNA from 1 species
GGCCCUCCGCCAUUUCACGGGAGGUCAUACCUGCACAAUGCCUUACGGGGUCAAUUGCCGCGGUAGCCUGACCGUGCUAAGGUAGCGUAAUCAAUAGCCUAUUAAUUGUUGGCCUGUAUCAAUGGUCUUACGCUGGUGGUACUGUCUCUACGGCACUUAUUUGAAUUUGACCUCUGGGCGAAAAGGCCCAGAUAAAACUGAAAGACGAUAAGACCCUAUCGAACUUUAGGCAGACCAACCCCUAAGUGGCCUUAGGCCCUAAAGUGUUGCUAAACCUUUGGUUGGGAAAACCGGGAACCAAGAAAAGCGUUCGCCUCUCCAAAAUACACACUCACCUAAUAGUAGAAAUUCUUGCAGGUUUAAAUGAAUUACCCACGAGGGUUACCAAAAAAUUAGUAACAAAAAGGCUUUACGUAGCAUAAUUAAGUUGUCUUAAGAUCCUAUCAGUCGCUUAUAAAAAUCGACAAUUAGCAGACGGAAGAGUUACCGUAGGGAUAACAGCGUAAUCCCCCCGGCGAGACCACAUUAAGGGGGGGGUUUGCGACCUCGAUGUUGGCUUGGGGCAUCCUAAAAGUGCAGGGGCUUUUAAGGGUUGGUCUGUUCGACCAUUAAAGCCGCACGU